GCUGCUGCUGCUGUUGCUGCACCGGGCGCGGCCGCGACACUCGCCUGGGUCUCCGGUUGGCGGCUCGGACGGAGUUCAUUUGCCGGGCUGAGGUGGCGGCGUUGGCGGAGGGACACACACACACACACGCACACGCACCGCGAGCUCCGGGGCGGGAGAAGGGGGUGGGGAGAGGGGGGAGGAAGGAAAGGGGGCGAGGGGAAGGGGAGAUGGUAAGGGCGGAGGGGCGAGCGGGACCCCGAGUCAAGAGAAAGGCCCACGGAGACAGACAGAGACCGAGCGAGGCCAGGCGGGCGGGCCUGACGCACGGGCAAGGCCGAGGCCGCCGGGCGGGGCGGCCGCGAGGGACGGAGACAGAAAGACGGGCAGAGCGAGAGAAAGAAAGAAAGGGCGUCCGCCCGCCUGGGGAUCCUGAGGCGAAGCGCGGCGUCGGCGGCUGAGGACACAGACCCUGGUCCCGCCGACUCCCGAGCGGCGUCUCCGGCGGCGGGGGGAGUGGGCGGGCGGGUGAGGAAGGGAGAAGGAGGAGAAGAGAGGGAGAGAAGGGAGGGAGGGAGCAGGGGGCGCCCGGCUCUUUUUUUUUUCCUCUUCCUCCCCCCCACACCCCCUGAAAGAGAUUUCUGAGAGGAAUUUUUUCUCUCUUUCUUCGGCCUCUUCUCUCUCCUCCCCCCCUUCUCUCCUCGGCGAAGGGGAAAUGAGUGUGAAGGGAGGAGAUAGGGGGAAAAAGAGGCGUCGUCGUUCCUCCUCCUUAAAGGAGCCUUUCCUCCUCCUCCUCCUCAGCCCCGUCGCCGCUGCUUCUGCUGCUGCUCCGUGGCAGGAGGAGCCAUUGACACCGCCGGAGCCACCACUCGCCCAAUCUCAGAAACUCAGAGGAAAAGAAAAGCCCCAAGGGGAAUUAUCUUUUGUGUCUGUAUCUGGUCCCCUCGAGAUAAUCUCUCCCCAGGGAAAACGUGUUUUAAUUCCCUCGCUGCUGUUGUGAUGACUGAAAAACAUGCAUUCAUUGGUUUCUUCUGUGUAUGUAUUGCUAUGUAAGGUACUAUGGGAGAUAGCAAAAAAUAAAAUAAAUUGCAAAAUAUGGGACAUAGUUUGUAUUUUUUUUAUGGUAGUUGAUUUAGUUAAUUCAGAUGUACAGAGAAAACAUAGCUUAUUCUCUGUAGCUUAUCCUUCUUGAGUCCCCAUGUUAUCCCUUUUCUUUUAUAGGUAAGUACUGAAUCUUACAGAUUUCCCCACUUCCCUGUCAUCCAAGAUAUACAUGGGAGUUGAGGGAUUUUGUGUAAAGUGUACAUAGACGGAAUGUCGCAUCUUCAAUAUCCUAGAUUUCCAAGUUGUAAUUAAUAAACUUGGAAUGAUAGUUCUCUGGCCAUGUGGCAGUAAGAUGCCUUAUUUUAACAAAACCAGUAUAUUAUGACAAUUUUCUGAUAGGUGGAAGUAAAAUGCCUUGAUAGUGCCUUUUUCUAAUUCACACAGUAACUAGUGGGCUGGUAGAAGCCUGUGGUAUGGGAAGGUCAGCAGGACAUCAAGGAAAAGCCCUGAGCCACGCAUGCCAGUCCUUGUGUUGUCCUUUACUUGUGGAGCGUCUGGUGUAGUCCAAAAGCAGAACUGCUAGCCUCAGAGAUAGAACUGCUCCCUCUGUCCUUUCGAGAAGUUGUGCUGCUUCCACACUGAACCAUUUGCCUUAUACACUGCAACUUCUGUCCUGAACCCAGGCCUCCGCAGGUCCACUGAUUCUCAUGAUGCCAUUCCAUCUUCUCACUGAAACAUGUGGGAACUUCUGGUUUCCCAGAAUAUCCCAUUUAGGCCUUGAUGAGCCAGAAACUUUGCUUCAAGCUCAUCUACUGAGCCACCUCCCUUCACCGAUGUUGCAUUUUUCUCCCUAUGUCAUGUGGAACAUGCCAUUAAGCUGAAAGCAGAGAUCCUAGCAGACUCAGCCUCUCACAGGCAUGCCCAGAGAAGCAAACCAUUACCCCAUUUUUCUUGGAUUUCCCCAUAUCUCUGAAUAUUUCAACUAUAUACUGCCAACUCUAGUUUCCACAUUGAGAAGGGACAGGAAGUAAGCACACUGAGUCUGAUUACCUCUUUCUGUCCCCCUUUCUUCUUUCCAUGAUCGCUUAGGGCUAUAAGAGAUGGAUUUUUCUAACACGACAUUGUAAAAUACAUAUUUUAAUUAUAAAGUUUUUUAAAAGAGAUUAUUUUUAUUCUUGUGACAAGAGCUUUCGUCAUGUACCACAUCCUCUUCAUUUUUUGUUAUGACUUCUACUGUGCUCCCUUUUUUGGAGCCAUGAUGGUGGAUGGGACGCAGGAAAGCGUUCCAUUAACAAUAAUGGAAUAUCUACUGGGAGAUAUUAAAAAAUAUUAUCCUAUCAUAUCUCUGGCUCCUACAUAUUUUUAGUUUAUCUUACAAAAGCGUUAAACGUUAGAGACUUCUUUGUGAAAAAGUGUUUAAAGCCAUCUUAAGUUAAAACUUGGGAGUUGUUAGAAUAGGCCUUGGAGAUCAUUUAAUUCUCAUGUUUGUAUUUGCUAUAUAAGGAAACUAAAAUUCAAAGAAAUGAGGCGACAGAAGCAAAUCCCAUAACUACUUAGUAGCAAAGUUAAUGCCUGACAGUCCAGUGCCCUUUCUGUUCACAGAUAUUAUAGACUUUUAAUUCUUCCAGUGAAACACAAAAUAUUCCAAAUGGUCUUAGCCAUCGCCAGGUCCACCUGUGUUAGCAGAUAAUCCGGUCAGUUAGCUGCCAUAGGAGGUAUAUGUGAGAGAAAACAGCAGAAAAACAUAAAGGAGAUUUUUAUUNNNNNNNNNNNGGGGGGUGGGUAGCAGUCUUCCAAAUUAUUUCAGUAUACACUUACCAUAAUUUCAGAGGACUGAGUUCCCUCAGGUUUGCUCGCUCUUCAAGAAUAUUUGUUUCUCUCAACUAAUUACUGGUGCUUAACAGGUUUGUGUACUUAAAAUUAUUUGUUUAUAAAACAUCACAAUAGGAGUGUGGAAAAAAUAAGCCCUUUAAUCAUUUUAAUACCUGGCAGGNNNNNNNNNNNNNNNNNNNNNNNNNNNNNNNNNNNNNNNNNNNNNNNNNNNNNNNNNNNNNNNNNNNNNNNNNNNNNNNNNNNNNNNNNNNNNNNNNNNGGAAAAAAUAAGCCCUUUAAUCAUUUUAAUACCUGGCAGGUGAUAUUUACUGUGAUUUUUAAAUGAUAAUUUUUACCAUUUCAAAGAUUCAGCUUCCCCUUUCCCUGUCAUUCCAUCAUCUAGUCUUAAGCCGUCAGUACUCAAGUCAGUUAUAUAAGACACCUGAAAGCUGCUCAUUCCUUUUAUGUCAUUUAGGAAAUUAGUUUGAUCUGAAUAUGGUUUUCCUGAAGGAAUAACCAGCUCUGUUUAAAAUAUCCUUGUUAGAGUAUGAAUGACUUAUCUCACUAAGCUGCAAAAAGUCAUUCUUUAGUACAUGCUCAGAUAAUAUUUUAUCAAUUAGUAAGUGAAAAUUAACUUGGAACUAAGAAUUUAAAUUCAGUGUAUAUGUGGGAAAACCUGGUAAGCAUGCAAUCAAAUGAUCCUCAUAACAGAGGUUAUCUGUAAAAAAAAUUAUAGAAUCUAACUUUAAUACCUUUCCCUGUGGAAUAAUAGAGACAUAGCGCUAUCAAAAGAAAUUAUGUUCAAGAUUUAGGAUGGGCUGUGAUAGACCACUGUAAAUCUUUUUAUUUUUUUGCUUUGAAAAGGAGAACCCAAUUUUGAAGUAUUGAGAAAAGACUAGGCCAAACAAUAAAACGGUGUUAUAUUAUGGAAGGACUGGUAGGUGACUGAACUGUGGGCAGAUGUAAAUGAAAGAUGGUGACAGAGCUCUGCUACCUGCUGGCUCUCUGACCUUGGCCAAGUUACUUAGCCUCUCUAUGCUUCAGUUUCUAUGUCAGUAAUAUGGGGGUGAUAAUAGUCCUCAUUUCAUGGGAUUGUUGUGACGAUUAUAAAAUGCUGAGAAGAGUGCUCAGUAUGCAGUAGGAGCUCGAUAAACUAUUAGCCAUUAU
rnacentral:lncRNA from 1 species